rnacentral:rRNA from 1 species
GUUGGCUUAGAAGCAGCCACCCUUUAAAGAAAGCGUAAUAGCUCACUAGUCGAGUCGGCCUGCGCGGAAGAUGUAACGGGGCUAAAACUAUAUGCCGAAGCUGCGGAUUUGCAAUUUAUUGCAAGUGGUAGGGGAGCGUUCUGUAAGCCGAUGAAGGUGUAUUGAGAAGUAUGCUGGAGGUAUCAGAAGUGCGAAUGCUGACAUGAGUAACGAUAAAGGGAGUGAGAGACUCCCUCGCCGAAAGUCCAAGGGUUCCUGCUUAAAGUUAAUCUGAGCAGGGUUAGCCGGCCCCUAAGGCGAGGCCGAAAGGCGUAGUCGAUGGGAACCACGUUAAUAUUCGUGGGCCUGGAGGUGUGUGACGGAUGGCGUAAGUUGUCAGGCCUUAUUGGAUUGGUCUGGCUUCGAAGUUGUCCCAGGAAAUAGCCCCUCCGUAUAGACCGUACCCUAAACCGACACAGGUGGGAUGGUAGAGUAUACCAAGGCGCUUGAGAGAACUAUGUUGAAGGAACUCGGCAAAUUGCACGCGUAACUUCGGAAGAAGCGUGACCCUCAUUCACGCAAGUGGGUGAGGGUGGCACAGACCAGGGGGUAGCGACUGUUUAUCAAAAACACAGGGCUCUGCGA